GACGAACGCUGGCGGCGUGCUUAACACAUGCAAGUCGAACGGAAAGGCCCUGCUUUUGUGGGGUGCUCGAGUGGCGAACGGGUGAGUAACACGUGAGUAACCUGCCCUUGACUUUGGGAUAACUUCAGGAAACUGGGGCUAAUACCGGAUAGGAGCUCCUGCUGCAUGGUGGGGGUUGGAAAGUUUCGGCGGUUGGGGAUGGACUCGCGGCUUAUCAGCUUGUUGGUGGGGUAGUGGCUUACCAAGGCUUUGACGGGUAGCCGGCCUGAGAGGGUGACCGGCCACAUUGGGACUGAGAUACGGCCCAGGCUCCUACGGGAGGCAGCAGUGGGGAAUAUUGCACAAUGGGCGGAAGCCUGAUGCAGCAACGCCGCGUGCGGGAUGACGGCCUUCGGGUUGUAAACCGCUUUCGCCUGUGACGAAGCGUGAGUGACGGUAAUGGGUAAAGAAGCACCGGCUAACUACGUG
rnacentral:rRNA from 1 species